ensembl:lncRNA
AAAUAUUUAUUGCACUUAUUAACUGCACAUCAACUUCGUAACAGUUGAGACUGAACAUAAAAACAAUAAACAAACAUAAAAACAACAAAUGUCUCACGUUUUGUUGUUGCCGCAAAAUGUUGUACUGCUUGAAAUUCCGCCUCCACCGUUGCUCGACACUGCGUGUAUAGAGCAGGUAGUGCAACAAUAGAAAAAUAGUUGCGGGAUGGCACUGUGUAGCAUUUGUCUAGGGUGUUGAUCAUUUUCCUAAAUCCCUCGUUUUGCACAGUGUUGGUGGGAGCCAUAUCCUUGGUCAGGUGAUAAGUAAUAGCCUCCAUAAUUUCUUUGUGCCUGCGGGAGUUCGACGGGUAUAGGGAAGCGCUGUAUAAGGUUCCCGUUAUUGAUGUUUGGGUGGUUGACCGGGACGGAUUUUCUCCUGUUACUUUCUCGUCAUCCCUGACGUGCUCGCCGUUGUUUUUUCCCUGCUAAUUUUAGCAUCACACGGCACAGCUUCUGCAUCACGUGGUAUAAGGCUCCGCCCUUGUCAUUUGUUGAGCAGGAAGAGUGAGCGCUUGUUUUCAUGCAGAUUACGUCCCGGAUCAAAAUGCGGUACAAUCGUCAUCGUCUUUUUUUUAAAUUUUUUUUUUUAUGGUUGUCAUUUGAAAAUGAGAUCGCACAUAAGUAUGAAUCGAGAUCGCGAUUUUCUAACGAUUAAUCGUGCAGCCCUACUUAAUUCUGCAACAUAAUAAAAUAUAAAGCAACAUAUAACUGAGCAUUUGCUUUAACUUGCUGAAUGUUUGUCUGCUGGCAACAGAAUGCUUACACAAACAAACCCAGGAUAGUAAGUGCAGCAAUGUUACUUUGACAAUAGCAAAUCAUAGCUAAUACAUAUAUAGAGAGAAUAAUGUGCAUAAUGUGCAUAAAGUCAAUACUUCUGGACAAGUGCUCAUCCACUUGUCACAGGUGGCCAGUGCCAUCCUCUAUUCUGUUGCAUGUUGCAUGCUGGGGCAGCAGGUUGAGGGUCGCAGAUCCAACAGAUUCAAUAUACUGAUCCGCAUGGCCAGUAAUGGUGUGGGGAUUGAGCUGGACUGGCUUAAGGUGGUGUUAGUGAGACGGAUGUUGUCCAAGAUAAGGACAAUCACUC